CGAGAUNGAGNNUNGUUACGGAUGCGCUAAGUACCGGAUGUGCCGAGAGGUGAAAGGUUAACUGCCUGAAGAGGAGCUCGCGUCUGAUUAGCUAGUUGGUGGGGUAAAAGCCUACCAAGGCGACGAUCAGUAGCUGGUCUGAGAGGAUGAUCAGCCACACUGGGACUGAGACACGGCCCAGACUCCUACGGGAGGCAGCAGUGGGGAAUUUUCCGCAAUGGGCGAAAGCCUGACGGAGCAAUACCGCGUGAGGGAGGAAGGCUCUUGGGUUGUAAACCUCUUUUCUCAGGGAAUAAAAAAAUGAAGGUACCUGAGGAAUAAGCAUCGGCUAACUCCGUGCCAGCAGCCGCGGUAAUACGGAGGAUGCAAGCGUUAUCCGGAAUGAUUGGGCGUAAAGCGUCCGCAGGUGGCUAUGUAAGUCUGCUGUUAAAGAGCAAGGCUCAACCUUGUAAAGGCAGUGGAAACUACAUAGCUAGAGUGCGUUCGGGGCAGAGGGAAUUCCUGGUGUAGCGGUGAAAUGCGUAGAUAUCAGGAAGAACACCGGUGGCGAAAGCGCUCUGCUAGGCCGCAACUGACACUGAGGGACGAAAGCUAGGGGAGCGAAUGGGAUUAGAUACCCCANUUAGUCANGGGA
rnacentral:rRNA from 1 species